rnacentral:rRNA from 1 species
AGGGAAGCAAGACCGCGAGGUGGAGCAAAUCCCUAAAAGCCAUCCCAGUUCGGAUUGCAGGCUGCAACCCGCCUGUAUGAAGUUGGAAUCGCUAGUAAUCGCGGAUCAGCAUGCCGCGGUGAAUACGUUCCCGGGCCUUGUACACACCGCCCGUCACACCAUGAGAGUCGGGAACACCCGAAGUCCGUAGUCUAACCGCAAGGGGGACGCGGCCGAAGGUGGGUUCGAUAAUUGGGGUGAAGUCGUAACAAGGUACC